rnacentral:rRNA from 1 species
AUUGAACGCUGGCGGCAUGCCUUACACAUGCAAGUCGAACGGUAACAGGUUAAGCUGACGAGUGGCGAACGGGUGAGUAAUAUAUCGGAACGUGCCCAGUCGUGGGGGAUAACUACUCGAAAGAGUAGCUAAUACCGCAUACGACCUGAGGGUGAAAGCGGGGGAUCGCAAGACCUCGCGCGAUUGGAGCGGCCGAUAUCAGAUUAGGUAGUUGGUGGGGUAAAAGCUCACCAAGCCAACGAUCUGUAGCUGGUCUGAGAGGACGACCAGCCACACUGGGACUGAGACACGGCCCAGACUCCUACGGGAGGCAGCAGUGGGGAAUUUUGGACAAUGGGCGCAAGCCUGAUCCAGCCAUGCCGCGUGCGGGAAGAAGGCCUUCGGGUUGUAAACCGCUUUUGUCAGGGAAGAAAAGGUUCUGGCUAAUACCCGGGACUCAUGACGUACCUGAAGAAUAAGCACCGCA